GCAGCCCCUCUUCAAUCUUUCACUCAUACAAUUGGUUUAUUAAAUACAUUCUGUUUAUUGGGGAAUUGGACAAAUCACCUUUCUAAUGUUUUCUGUAGUUUAACAAGAGGUAAUCAUGCUGGAUUGUAUCUCAAGAGCAAUGAGCAAUCUAAAGGUAUGUUCUUGUUGUAUUUGCUUCCAUUUCUACCAAUUCUGCAUCUUCCACCCGUUAUAUAUCUUAACUUGCAAUACUUUAGGAGCUCUAGUUGCACUAAGACAUCUUUAACAAUAAUAUGUCAGACAUUAAGUUACUUUUCAAAUUAUCAAAAUGCUCACCUCAAACUUUGAAUUUGCCAUCACCUUCAAUGAUAGCGAGUUUUGGACUGUCAACUCUGAUGCCACUUGAUGGAAAAACACUGCAUACUAAUAAAAGCAAAUAGAAGAGAGAGAACUCAAUUUACAUGGUUCGGCAAAACCGCCUACCACCACAAUAAGAGAGAAUUAAUUCACUAAUCAAAUCUUCAAAUGCAAACUCUUUUCACUCUCUAGUCUAAACACAAUGUAUGUCCAUAUUCACUCUCCCUAUUUUAUUCUCUCUUGUUGCUUCCCUUUUAUUACUUCUCUCUCUAUUUCUGUCUCUCUCUGUGUGUGUAAUUCACUAAUUGUAUGUUCAUCACCUUGUAGCACAAAUCCAUAUUUGUCGAAUAUAAGUUUUGUCUUUCUUUUCUUUCUUUUAUUAACUUUCUUUGUACAUGGUAAGAUUUUCUGCUGUUAACAUUUUGCACAAUGAUUUUCCUCUUUUUCCUUAUUUUUUCUUCCACAUAAUAUUUUUUUUAUUUUGUUGUGCACCCAUGUCCAUCCUUUUUCUUUCUCGAAGAAAAUAUAAACAAAAUAAUGGGAAUCAUAUCCUACAGUGGGAAUCAUGAAUAAAGAAUCUCAAGCUAGAGUUUCAAGAUUUUUACAAAUAAUAAGAAUAAAAAUCUGAAAAUUUAAGCCACUUCUGAGAAAAAGAGAAUUUUAACCAAAUGGACAUGCUUAAUCUGCCCUUGAUGGAUAGUAAUAGCUUUUGCUUUAUGAAUAUUAUUUCGUGAAAUAUCCAUUUAAUUCUGUUCCAUUGUCUAACAACAGAAAAAUGGCGUUGACAUUCCACAUCUGUGUUUUGGAAUAAAUCCCUAUAUAAUGUUCCACUUUUAGUCAUUUAAUUGGAUUAAAAGCUAGCCAAUAACAGAACACAGCAACCUUAUGCUUUUUCAAUGGGGAUUCCAAAGGUGAUGUUCAGCUUGUAGACAAAUAAGAUAAAAAAAAAUAUAUUUAUGGUGAGAAAUAAGAAAGAAAUGGACCAAAAAUAAGGAACAAUAAACCCCGAUUAUGCUUGUAUGCUAUGCCUUCUUUUUGGAUUAGAGAACCUUAUUAGAUAUUAUAAACCCUGAUUAUGCUUGUGUCUCUUGUAUGUGACAGUUUAUUACCAUUUUUUUAUUUUUUAUUUUUUUGUAUUUUUUCAACUUUAUACUCCCUCUUUUUCUCAAUAAUUUUUUGUUGAGUUAAGUGAAUAAGGAUAUGCUUUUCAGCCACAAGCAAAAUAUAUCUGGAAGAAAGUAUGAUUAUUUGGUUUCAAGUAUUGUUUACUUGUGAUACGAAUGUAAUACUUCUCUCAAGUAGAAUUACUUUGGAGUAUUGAUUUCAUUUACUUCAGAGUAUAUAUUUUUAUUUCAUUCCCUAUUUGGUUGAGAUUAAUUUCAGAUUUUUAGUGGAUUUUGACAAAAGUUGAUGAAAUAUGCCAUUGAAAAGUUGUGGGCCCGAAAUAUAUAGUUAGAAUUAAUUAUUGACUUUGACUAAUAUUAAAAUCUGAAUUUUAAUCCUAGCAUAGUAAAUCUUUCCAUUUAAGAACUUUAGUGUCUUACUUUUCAGCUGGCCAUGUGUAAGAAAUACCUGUUAUAUUUGGAUAUGCUAUGUCUAUUUUUAUGUAUGUGUCGCAUAAGGAUGUAUUAGGUAUAUAUGCGUCGCACAUGCAUGUGGACUCAAAUUUAUGAUUUUGUCAUAUACAUACAACAAUCACGUUUUCUAGUUUGUAAUAUGAUGUAAUAUUCACUUAUACAUUGUGGAGUAAAGGGCUGGGCUUGUCUUGCUGCUGUAUAGCAUUUGGGUUUACUUCAUCCGUCAAAGUGAGAUGUACAUCAAGAUGAUGUUUUGCCUUUCAAAAUUCAAAUAGAUAGGAAUGGUGCCUUGGUGUUUGCUGAGUGCUUGUGGACACGUAAAUUAUAAGUGGAUCCAGGAAAGUUCAAGAAUAGAAAAUUUACUUUGGUUCAUAUCAAAGCCUCAGUCGAUAAUAUGCGAAAAGCUUUUCCCUUAAACUCUUCCGAUCGGGAAGCAUAAUUAGGGAGCUGCGUUUGCAAGAAUAAUACCUCUGCUAUAGUUACUACUCAUAUUCAUAUGUAAUUAGCUUAAAUUAGUAUGUGUCUGGGCGAAGUAGAUGUGGAUACUCAUUCAACAAGAUUAACAUUAGCUAAAUUUAGAUCGUUUUAUCAGGUUUAUUGCCUCUAAUGGGGCCUCCGCAGCCUCUCCUACUGAGAGAAAGACUCAUUUUCCGGGCACAAUAGCAAGUACCUACUGCAUUGCCUCGCAUGCCACCCCCGCAUUUCCUGGGGGCUUCUUUUUAGGGAUACGCUCCUAGGAGAGCUCGCCCUAGAAUGAGGAGUAAAAUAAGCCUUUGGAUAGUAUAUGGUGUACUUUUUACUAGCAUGCCUGAACAACCUACAGUUGAAAGAAAGAGUAGACGUAAGAUGAGAGAGGGAGAAAAAUGGUGGGAGGAAAUGAGGGAUUUCAACUGUCAAAGUGAAAAGUAAGGAACCAGUUAUGAUUACAAUCAGUGUAAAUCCUUUUAAUGACUUAGCUUACUUCAUGAGAUGUAAGAUUGCUAGAGACCCAUCUCUUUUGAAAAAGGGGUGAUGUUUAAACUGUUUUCAAGUUCAUUGUGAAUGAUAUAAAUGUCUUGCAAUUUACUCAAACAUGCUUCCUGUUGAAGUCAGUAUAAGUUUUUGUUUGGAAUAAACUUGCAUCUUUGUAGUUGUUUCCUGCAGGGCUUAGAGAUUUCUUUCAUAAAAUGCUUGAAAUUUGGUUCUCAAUAUCUUUCAUUACUCUUACUCCAUGUAUUAGUUUGCUUAUUAAAUUAGCAUCAGUUUGGCAAAUUUAUAAAUAGUUUACAAAAGUGAACUAGUAGUGAGUCACACAAAAUAAAUGGAUAACAAGAGAAAUUGGUGCAGGUGAUCACAAAACUUUGUCUACCUUGGCAUCUUGGUGCCAAACCUUUAAAUCGUAGCAAUAACCGUCGCAAACAUUUGCAUUUUUGACAACAUUGGUUCUUUUGGAUAGAUUCCGUCCAAAAGGACAAUUAGUUUUGUGCCUGAAAUGCACUAUCUUUUAAGGAUAUUCUUAGUAACAAUAAUGUCCCCAACUAAUUUUUCGUCUUAUUUAAGUCUCACUUAUUAGUAUUUUUAAAAAAAAAUACAAGUUUAUUAUUGUUUUCAAAUAAUGCAGUUAGGAUAUUACAUAAGAAAUGGAGUUAACUUCCCUAUAAAAAAUUUCAUUGUUUAUGUGAUCUUUUUUUUUUUUUUUUUUUGUUAUUUUUGUUAGAAAUUUUAUAUUUCUUUAGUUACAAGUACUGAUCAUAUGAUAAUUUCAUCCUUUAUGACUGGGAAUGAAAGAAAAUGCAUAGAAAAGUUUGUAAUAUGAUAACAUGUAACUCGAGGGGCUCAAAUUUGGAGAAUCUGAAGUUAGAUUCUUAAUAAAGUGCAUGAUGACUUGUGUGCAAGGAGAUAAAGAAUCUGUAAUUAAUAAGUUUUGCAUCUUGUGCAGAUUAUUUCCCUCUUAGGCUUUUCUUCAAGAUAGCAUGCUGAAUUUCAUGAGCUUUCGUUCGGAUAAGGCUAGAAGAAGAUUUUGGUUCCAACGAUGGAGGUUUCGUAAAAAGGAUCGGAGGCAUUCCACUGGUUACAGGGUCGAAAUUCACAGUAUUGGUGGUCAACUGGUGCAUCAUACUUUCAAACAGUUCAUUUAAAAGUUUAAAUACUCGAAAUGUUGACCAUAUUUAGUUCAUGUUUGGCCUUAUUUUUUAGAACUCAUUUUUUUUCUCAAAUUCAUUUUCAAUAACACAUUUUAUGAGAUCCGUAACUUUUAUCAACUUUUUAAUCGUAUAUUUUAUCAACAUUUAUCAAAAUUUACUAAAAAAACUAAUUAUUAUCCAAAUC
rnacentral:lncRNA from 1 species